GAUGCAUCGUCGUUCGUCGCCACUCAGAACAGCCUCAUCGGACGCGCUGCUUUGUCUCCGCGCUCAAAAGUGCUUUCUUGCUUCGUUUAUCGAUUACCCACGUUAAUCGCGUGAUUCAAUAUCGAGUGUACCUCCAAAGACAAUCCACUUCCCAGUGUUGUGACAAGCGGCGACCGCGGUUGUACAGGAGCGGAAGCGUGAGCCUUUUGACGAGCGACUGUGAAGAAUGCAAAGCCAGUGCCAAACUUCGGUAAGUUGAAGAAAGUCGCUGAACUAAGUAACUUGGUUAUUCAUUGAGUGAGGACUGUUGUGCAGGAAUCGAUAGCACGGGCGGCGUGUUGGCACAGCGAGGAUGAGAACGAGAGACCCGAUAGACAGCGAUGACAGCUGUUCACGGCACCGACACAGAGGACAUAUUGCAGUGCAAGAUAGGAGCGGUCUUCCUGCAAGCCCAAACAAGCCAUAUUGAGUGGUUUCAAAUACAGCAACUGUACCACCACGACAGUGCAGCACAAGAGACCCUAUCGUCAGUGCUGAGCCAGAAAUUAAAUAGAAAAGCGCUUUCUCCUGAAAUCUUUCGUCUGGUCUUAUUUCGUUUGUUUGUGAUUGUAAAAGAGCGCUUUCAUAGGAAAUACAAAAUUUAACUAACUAGCCCCAUUUAUUGUCCUAUUGAAACUAAAUAGCUUGACAAUUUAGCGC
rnacentral:lncRNA from 1 species